UUUUAUAAACCCUAAGAAAUGCCAUGUGAAGAGAAUUUAUAUUUAUACUUACUUCUAUCAAAAGACUGUAAGGAAGAGAGUUUCAGUUGGAGAAGAUGAGAAAAUUCUGGAGAAGGAUGGUGGUAACGGUUGCACAAUAUUGUGAAUGUACUUAAUGGCACAGAACUGUGCUUAAAAUGGCUAAAAUGGAAACCUUUGUUAUGAAAAUAAAUUUUAAAUAAAAUUAAAAAUAAAGCAUUUAUGAAUAUUCUUACUGUCUCCCCCAAAGACCAUAACUAUCUGUAGAUCCAUGAUCAAAAAACCUUUUUUUUUCCCCCCAGAAAAGCAUUCUCCAAGCUGGCAAGUUUAGGACAGAUGCUCGCUGAAGUGAGAUGAAGGACCCAUGGCUCAUCAGUUAAAGUUAACCUCAGUAAGCAAUGGGAUCAGAGAAGCUGAGGCAGUUUACCUCACAACUACCGACAGGACAUAAAACAUAAUUUCUGAUGAUGCAAGGAAGCAUCUUGGAUUUUGGCUGAACUGAGGUAAUAUAGGUGAUUAAUGUGUUUGCAAGGCAGCCAAAGAACCCACAAAACCAGAAAAUGUUCAACUUUACAACUUUAUUAAGAAGAAAUUUAUCAUUAAGUCACAACGAGAUAAAGUCGAUGAGCAUUAAGGGGAAGGGGAAACUGGAUUUAAGAUCUGGUACAGUGAGGCCCCAGGAUCUCUUCCUGAGUGCAAGCACAAAGGAGAGCAUUAUGGACCACGGAAUCUUGCCCUGCAGAUGGAUCUGGUAUGUUACUUAAUUCGAUGCUGCCUCCUAACAGCCAAGUACCAUUUCUUUGGUCCAUUUCCCCCCACAUCUGAUACAUUCCACAAAUUUCCUCCUCUCUCCUUAAACUCAAAGCCUUUUGCCUCUGCCCCUGACAAAUGACCUUGUUCUCUUCUCAAUGGAGACCACAGACAUCUAUACCCUGUUCUCCUCUUCUCUAAUUUCACUUUACUGUUACUCUGUAGGCGAGCUGGGAACAGGGGACCUUAUGAAAAGGUCAAUGACAUCACUCAGAGAAAAGAAUGCAGACAGGGAGGUUGAGGGG